GUCUACGGCCAUACCACCCUGAACGCGCCCGAUCUCGUCUGAUCUCGGAAGCUAAGCAGGGUCGGGCCGGUUAGUACUUGGAUGGGGACCGCCUGGGAAUACCGGGUGCUGUAGGCU
rnacentral:rRNA from 1 species